AGGCCGGAGCCCAGGGUCUGUCUGGCAGGCAGACAGGUGCCAGCAGCUCGCAGCCUGGCGUUCCCGCUCUGGGGGCCGUCCGGGAACAGAGGCGCGCGAAGUGCGCGUGCGCGGCGGCGGAGGCGGUGGCGGCGCGAGGCAGAGCCAGAGCCCGGGGUCAGUCAAUCAGAUUAGACUCCAGAGAUAAUGAUAUUAGGAAAUCCAAACUGAAAUGGACCCCAGAGCAAUUGAAGAAAGAAAGAGUCAAGACAAAAAAAGUUGCUGAUUCCUGUCUAGAGGAAACAGUAAGGAAGAGAAAAGAGAAAUUCUCAUUAUAGCCAUGGCAAAGGAAGGGACAUUUUUAUGGACUACAUCUCUGCCUGGAUGGCUGUCUCUAACUGGAUUUUGCCAAUAUAUGCUGAGUAAGUAGAAGACCACUGCAUUUUGGAGUGGUCGUAUGUAUAUGUGUAUGUGUAUGUGAUAUGGUUUGCUUCAGUUUCCCCCACACACACACACAAAUUUCUUCUCAAUUUGUAAUCCCCACGGGUCGAGUGAAGGACCCGGUGCAAGGUGAUGGGAUCAUGGGGGCAGUUUCCCUCAUGCUGUUCUCGUCAUAGUGAAUGAGUUCUCUUGAAAUCUUAUGGUUUUAAAGUGUGGCACUUUUCCCCUUGCUCUCUCUCUCUCUCUUCUGCCACAUUGUGAAGGAGGUGCUUGCUUUUACUUCACCUUCUACCAUGAUUGUAAGUUUCCCGAAGCCUCCCCAGCCAUGUGGAACUGAGUUAAUUAAACCUCUUUUUCUUUAUAAAUUACCCAAUCUCAGGUAGUUCUUUAUAGUGAUGUGAAAAUGAACUAAUACAGUAUGUAUGUGGAAGGACAGGUAAUUAUAGUGGGUUCUGUAGCCCAUUGACAUAAACAACUGCUGGCCAUGAGCAGUAUUCCUAGGAAGAAGCACUGUUCACAUGGAUAAUUGGGGGAGAGACCAGCAAAAAUCUUAUAAACUGGAAAUAAUUUCUGCAGGUCCGAUAGCAAUUCAUGGCCUCUCUCUUUCACUACAUUUAUUUAAGAACAAUUCCCAAGCCCGUCCUAGUUUUUUCCCUCCUCCAGAACUAUUUAUACAUUUGUUGUUCCUUGAUCUACACUGGCAGUGCUGGCUCUCAUUGGACAGUAGGCUACUGGAAAAUAUGAUGAAAAAAUGUCCUACAGCAGACUGAGCAUGUGCUAGUACAUGCAGCUCCUGCCAUCUGUUUGUCUGCUUUGACAGAUGUUAUUGAAUGAGCAGGUAAAGAUAGUGAGAAGUGAAGCAGAGACAUUUAAUAGACAGCAUCACAUUAGCAGAUCCAUAAACAGCUGGCAAUGAAAAGUAGCCACUGUUUGUAUCCAGAUGUCCAUAUUAGGAGACAAAAUAGUUCUAUAUAUACUACCACUCUAAUGGUGGAGAAAGAUCCUGGAGGGACACGGGUCAUUAUCUGGAGUACUUACAUGAUAUAGACCAUCAGUGUUUUUGCAAAAAAAUACUUUAACUUUAACCUACCUUUGGAAACUAACUCUAACCUACCUUUGGUACUUCGUCUUACCAAAAUGUUAUGUAC
rnacentral:lncRNA from 1 species